AACCAAACGGACGCCCCCAAUCAAAGUGCCGUUUCCUUUUGUCCCUCCAUCUCCUUUCAUUAAUCCAAAAUUCCCAUAAACAAAACCUUCAUCUUGAGAGAGAGAGAGACACAUAGGGAUGGAUCCACCACAGGUAGAGACCAUGGACAUCUCCAGCAAAAACUAUCCCCCAAUUGAAGAUGAGCAAGACAAAAAAGUAGACCAUUGUUGUUCUUGCUUUUACGACUGUACUCAUACCUUGUUGGAGUAUUUGUGCUGCUAUGAUUUCUGGCGUUCUUAGGGAUACACAUUAUAUAAGUACUCUGUAGUGGGAAACUUGUUAGAUGAACUAAUUAUGUUCUUUCACUUUUGGUUAGCAUGAUUAUGCACUGCAUUAGUCCAUUUAGAUCAAAGUUAUUUGUCCGUCUUUAUAUUGUAGUUAAAGUUCUAAUGAUAAUAUGAGUUGGUACGUG